rnacentral:rRNA from 1 species
GACGAACGCUGGCGGCGUGCUUAACACAUGCAAGUCGAACGGAAAGGCCCUGCUUUUGUGGGGUGCUCGAGUGGCGAACGGGUGAGUAACACGUGAGUAACCUGCCCUUUACUUUGGGAUAACUUCAGGAAACUGGGGCUAAUACCGGAUAGGAUCUGCUGCUGGAUGGUGGGGGUUGGAAAGUUUAGGCUGUUGGGGAUGGACGCGCGGCUUAUGAGCUUGUUGGUGGGGGAGUGGCUGACCAAGGGUUUGACGGGUAGCCGGACGGGGAGGGUGGCCGGGGACAAUGGGCCUAGGGUACGGCCCAGGGCCCAAGGGGGGGCAAUGGGGGGAAACAUUGUACAAUGGGGCGGAGGCGGAGGGAGAGACGCGGGGGUCGGGAAGGCGGCCUUCGGGGUGGAAACCGCUUUAGCCUAAGACGCAGCUGUGGUGACGGUAAUGGGUAAAGAAGCACCGGCUAACUACGUG